AGAAGCAUAUAGCAGGUCUGGUCAACAUUUCAUACCCUUUAACUCACAUAGAUCUGGGAUGAGAAGCAUAUAGCAGGUCUGGUCAACAUUUCAUACCCUUUAACUCACAUAGAUCUGGGAUGAGAAGCAUAUAGCAGGUCUGGUCAACAUUUCAUACCCUUUAACUCACAUAGAUCUGGGAUGAGAAGCAUAUAGCAGGUCUGGUCAACAUUUCAUACCCUUUAACUCACAUAGAUCUGGGAUGAGAAGCAUAUAGCAGGUCUGGUCAACAUUUCAUACCCUUUAACUCACAUAGAUCUGGGAUGAGAAGCAUAUAGCAGGUCUGGUCAACAUUUCAUACCCUUUAACUCACAUAGAUCUGGGAUGAGAAGCAUAUAGCAGGUCUGGUCAACAUUUCAUACCCUUUAACUCACAUAGAUCUGGGAUGAGAAGCAUAUAGCAGGUCUGGUCAACAUUUCAUACCCUUUAACUCACAUAGAUCUGGGAUGAGAAGCAUAUAGCAGGUCUGGUCAACAUUUCAUACCCUUUAACUCACAUAGAUCUGGGAUGAGAAGCAUAUAGCAGGUCUGGUCAA